rnacentral:rRNA from 2 species
AUAACGACUCUCGGCAACGGAUAUCUCGGCUCUCGCAUCGAUGAAGAACGUAGCGAAAUGCGAUACUUGGUGUGAAUUGCAGAAUCCCGUGAAUCAUCGAGUCUUUGAACGCAAGUUGCGCCCGAAGCCUUUAGGCCGAGGGCACGUCUGCCUGGGCGUCUCGCA